UAGGGAAUAUUAGAAAUGGACGAAAGUCUGAUCUAGCAACACCGCGUGUGCGAAGAAGGCCUUCGGGUCGUAAAGCACUUUUUGGAAGGAAUAGGAAGGAAUGUACUUCCAGAAUAAGUCUCGGCUAACUACGUGCCAGCAGCCGCGGUAACACGUAGGAGGCAAACGUUAUCCGGAUUUACUGGGCGUAAGGCGCGUGUAGGUGGUACUGUAAGUAGGGCGUGAAAGCUCCUGGCUCAACUGGGGGAGGCCGUCCUAAACUACAGAACUAGAGGAUGGUAGAGGGAGGUGGAAUUCCAGGUGUAGCGGUGGAAUGCGCAGAUAUCUGGAGGAACACCGGUGGCGAAGGCGGCCUCCUGGACCAUUCCUGACACUCAGACGCGAAAGCUAGGGUAGCAAACGG
rnacentral:rRNA from 1 species